AUUGAACGCUGGCGGCAGGCCUAACACAUGCAAGUCGAGCGAGCGGCGGACGGGUGAGUAAUGUCUGGGAAACUGCCUGAUGGAGGGGGAUCACUCCUGGAAACGGUAGCUAAUACCGCAUACCCUCUGAUUUGCCCAGAUGGGAUUAGCUAGUAGGUGGGGUAACGGCUCACCUAGGCGACGCUCCCUAGCUGGUCUGAGAGGAUGACCAGCAACACUGGAACUGAGACACGGUCCAGACUCCUACGGGAGGCAGCAGGGGGGAAUAUUGCACAAUGGGCGCAAGCCUGAUGCAGCCAUGCCGCGUGUGUGAAGAAGGCCUUCGGGUUGUAAAGCACUUUCAGCGGGGAGGCGUUACCCGCAGAAGAAGCACCGGCUAACGCCGUGCCAGCAGCCGCGGUAAUAC
rnacentral:rRNA from 1 species